UGUUCUCCAUCUUUUUACGCGAACCUAGAAACCUUUUCUUCUUCCCUCAAUUUCUUCUCUCCCAUUCUCUCCCACACCCAACCCAAAACCUAUCAAUCAAUCAAAUUUUUUUCAAGUCUUCCAAACCCAGAACCCUCUUCUUCUCACUCAAUCGAUUUAAACCAAAAACCCUUCAUCAUUAUUCACUCACCCAGUCUCCAUCUUUCUCCUCAAUCGAUCGAACCCAAAAACCCUUACUCUUCUCUUCCUUCCAUAGUCACUCAAUCUCACUCAUUGACCCUAAAACCCAGAAGCUCAGCUCGUUUGAACCAGAAUCUAUAACUCGUUGAAACCCCAAAACCAUCUACAACUCGUUUGAACCCAGAAACUCUUCAUCGUGUUUGCAUCGUUCACCAUUAUUCAUCGCAAUUGAACCUCGUCUCAGUCAUUAGGUAUUUGGAUUACUCUUAUUCUUCUUUGAUUUCUAAUUUUAAAUUUGCACUCUAAGAUUUUGGAUUUCUUUUGCAUUAAAAGAUGGUGUUCUUUGUGUUCUAUGAUUUCUAAACUUAUGCAUUUGGGUAACUUUUCUAAUUUGUUCAAGUAUCCAUACUUCUUUGGAAUGAAAAUAGACUAAUUCUUUUCAUAGAUAUACCAAUUAAAGAAUCUGAUUGUUAAAGGAAGAUUAGUUAGAAUGAGUUAAAUA
rnacentral:lncRNA from 1 species